rnacentral:rRNA from 1 species
UACGGGGGGGGCAAGCGUUGUUCGGAAUUACUGGGCGUAAAGGGCGCGUAGGCGGUUGGAUAAGUUGGUGGUGAAAACCUCGAGCUUAACUCGGGGCCUGCCAUCAAUACUGCCCGGCUGGAGUGUGGGAGAGGAGAGUGGAAUUCCCGGUGUAGCGGUGAAAUGCGUAGAUAUCAGGAGGAACACCGGUGGUGUAGACGGCUUUCUGGACCGUAACUGACGCUGAGACACGAAAGCGUGGGUAGCAAACAGG